GUGGGGAAUAUUGGACAAUGGGCGGAAGCCUGAUCCAGCCAUGCCGCGUGUGUGAAGAAGGCCUUUUGGUUGUAAAGCACUUUAAGUGAGGAGGAGGCUCUUAAGGUUAAUACUCUUGGAUAGUGGACGUUACUCGCAGAAUAAGCACCGGCUAACUCUGUGCCAGCAGCCGCGGUAAUACAGAGGGUGCAAGCGUUAAUCGGAUUUACUGGGCGUAAAGCGCGCGUAGGUGGCCAAUUAAGUCAAAUGUGAAAUCCCCGAGCUUAACUUGGGAAUUGCAUUCGAUACUGGUUGGCUAGAGUAUGGGAGAGGAUGGUAGAAUUCCAGGUGUAGCGGUGAAAUGCGUAGAGAUCUGGAGGAAUACCGAUGGCGAAGGCAGCCAUCUGGCCUAAUACUGACACUGAGGUGCGAAAGCAUGGGGAGCAAACAGGAUUAGAAACCCUUGUAGUCC
rnacentral:rRNA from 1 species